UGCUAGAGAUGUUGCUGUUCUAGAUGCAAUGCUUGAAUCUGGAAUGAACAAUGGAGCUCAGGUUCAGGUAAAAAAGUUUUAGGCUGAGGACUAUCUCAACACGAUUCUGUUAAGGAUAGGGGGGAGAGAAGAAAAUAAAGAAAUAUCAUUUACAUUUCUUUAGAUUACAUCAUUAAUUUACGCUGUUAAUUUGAAAUGCUGUGUUGUAAUUUGGGG
rnacentral:misc_RNA from 1 species